AUGCUUGUUAUGUCAGCACAGAUACUAAAAUUCAAGCCUACAGAGGAAAUUAGCAUAGCCCCUGUGCAAGGAUGAGGUGAAGAUUCAUGAAGCAUUCCAUAUUUUU